GACUCUUGGCAACAGAUAUCUUGGCUCUCGCAUCGAUGAAGAACGUAGCGAAAUGCGAUACCUGGUGUGAAUUGCAGAAUCCCGCGAACCAUCGAGUCUUUGAAUGCAAGUUGCGCCCAAGGCAACACGGCCGAGGGCAUGCCUGCCUGGGCGUCA
rfam:Triticum aestivum genome assembly, contig: Triticum_aestivum_CS42_TGACv1_scaffold_050966_1BS